rnacentral:rRNA from 1 species
AAUGGGGGAAACCCUGACGCAGCAACGCCGCGUGAGUGAUGAAGGCCUUCGGGUCGUGAAGCACUGUCAGAGGGGAAGAAAUGCAGGGGUGCUAAUAUCAUCUUUGCUUGACGGUACCCUCAAAGGAAGCACCGGCUAACUCCGUGCCAGCAGCCGCGGUAAUACGGAGGGUGCGAGCGCUGUACGGAAUUAUUGGGAGUAAAGCGCGUGUAGGCGGUUUGGUAAGUCUGAUGUGAAAGCCCCGGGCUCAACCAGGGAAGUGCAUUGGAAAAUGUCAGACUUGAAUACAGGAGAGGGUAGGGGAUUUCCUAGUGUAGGAGUGAAAUACGUAGAUAUUAGGAAGAACACCGGUGGCGAAGGCGGCUACCUGGACCGAUAU